AGAUGGCUUCCCUUUCUUUCUCCCACAGAAGUGCUGAUAUGGUUUUAUGACUUGGUCCCACUGAGUUGUCCAGAUCGGCCUGGAACUUAWGAUCCUCCUGCCCCAACCUCCUCAAUAGCUGGGAUUAUAGGUACCUUGCAUGUGAUUUACRCAGUGAAUGGCCCUGCUUUUGGAGCAAGUUAAUGAUAUAAUAUCCCCAUUUAUAUUCAGAGCAGUCAACACUUCCUAGCUCUCAGAAUAAUAAAAGCACCUGCAUUUAAUAUACAUGGAAGAAUGGGAAGGAAAAUAGCAGAUAAGGCACAAUCAGCUUACCAGGUGCUGGGGAGGAUCGAAUGUGGAAGUUGCAAGAAGUGAAGCAGGCCCAGGUGCAGAAGGGCUAUAGUACACAUACAGCCAGCUGACAGUCUGCCCCAGCAUUGGCAUCCCCAACCACAGGAGGGCCCAGCUCCUUCGUGGAGGGAUCAGAAAGCACUGGAUCUUAUCUGCUAUAAUCGGAACAGGAUGUUUUAUGCCGAAAAUUGAACUGACAGCUCUAUCUACUGAGAAGGCUUUUGUUCACUCUCUUGUUCCUCAAAUUGUGUGCUGUUUUGUUUUGUUUUAAGGGUGGCAGCCCUUGGCUUUGGCCAACCAGUGUUAAAUGAACUUCCACAAAUAUGAUUAUGAAUGAAAUGAAAUAACUGUCCAUUGCAUUUGGAAAUACUCUAUUUCUGUGGAAAUGGCUUUUCUCAAAGUACCUUUUUCUAUCCCCCUGCCUUAACUUAAACUGCCAUAACAAAAUGCUAUAGACCAGGUGGCUUAAAUGACAGAAACUUAUUUUCUUACAGUUCUGGAGGCUGAAAUCUGAGAUCAGAGUGACAGAAUGGUUGGAUUCUGGUGACAGCCUUAUUCCUGUCUUAGAGACAAUGUUCAUUUCACUGUGUGCUCACAUGACUUCUUCUUUGGGUAUGUGCAGAGACAGAGGAAACCAACACUUUGAUGUCCAUGUAUUAACCCCAUCAUGAGGGUCCCACCAUGUUGACCUUAUCUAAAUCUAAUUACUUCUGAAAGGUCCCAUCUCCAAAUGCCACAUUAGCAGUUAUGACUUCAACAAAUAAAUUUGUGUGGUGGGGAAUGUUUAUAAUUUAGUCUAUAGUAUCACCCAAUUGUUUUAUCAUAGCAAAGUUAAUAAGGYUGAGACAAAGAGAACUGUCUUCAAAAUGUUGACAAGACAGCCUUGGCAACUAAGCCAGACCUUGUCUCAAAAAAAAAAAAAAAGUGUGUGGGGGUGCUGGGGAUAUAACUCAGUGAUAGGGUGCUCCUGGGUCAAUCAUUGGUACUAAAAAAAUCAAAAUAAAAAUAUUUUCAAAAGUAUUGACAUGAAGAGUAUUAGAAUAUUAGUAGUUCAGUCCUGUGUUAGAGAGCUUUGAGUUGUUGUGACCAAUAUGCCAAACAAGAACAACUUAGAGAAGGAAAAAUUAAUUUUGGUUCAUGGAGGUUCAGUUCAUGGUUAGCAGCUGCAUAGCUCUGGGCCUAAGGAGAAGCAGCACAUCAUAGUGGAAAGGUGAGACUGAGGAAAACUGCUUAUUUCAGAAAGCAGAGAGAACUUGAGUACAAGGAUCCAAGGGCACAUCCCCAGUGACUUCCUCCAGCCAUGCCUACCACCCAUUGAUGCAUUCAAAUUAUUAAUCUCAAAUGGAUUAAUCCUCUGUUUAAAUUACAGCUAUCAUAAUUUGAUAAUUUUACCUCUGAACAUUCCUGUAUUAUUUCACACAUGAGCUUUCCUGGGGACACCUCACAUGCAAACUAUAACAGGUCCAUAAUGGAGCAAAUAUCAGUUGAUUGAGAGUGUUAAUAGCCAUGUGCUUUGUCCUUUCUCACCCAUGCCCACACCCACACUCAUGAAGCCCUACUGUACCUACUGUAGGUUUAUAUAGGAUGGGGUCAAUCACAGAAAGUGUCUGUGGCAGAAAUUAAAUGGAAAAAUAACAACUUUCAGGAUGCUUGUAGUGUCAGCAGUCUCUUGUGUUUUCUAUCCUUGCAGUAACAUAGACUAAUCACUGAUUUCAGAAUGAUAAAUUAACCUACAGGGAGCAAAUUCAUUACCUAGGAAAUUUUCAGUAAUAUACUGAAUACCGAGGUUGGAAAAGAACUGAUUUUCAGAAGAUUUCUAAUAACAGAAGUAGAAAGCACAAAGGAGUUUGUGGAGAAUUGUGGGUUAAUUACAACACCCUGUUUCCCAAGCAUUUCAUUUUGUAUAAUGUUUGCUUUUGGAAGAUGGACUGAGAUUUACGUUUUACAAUUGAAAUACUGAGCUUCUUCAAGGUCAUGAGAUAAGAUUGAGAUUAUCAAUUUAAGUAUGAAUUGCACAAUAUUGAAAAUGCCUUUCAAUAUUGAAAGUUGAAAAUGCCUCUCCCAAUAGCUUUUUGUUUUAUUUUUGCAUUUUUGUUGUAGCCUAUAAGGAACAAUCAAAGAAGCCUGUUGUUAUUAUUUUAACUUGUCAUUUUGUGAAUCUGGGCUAUGAAAAGCAAUGCUGGCCAUGUUAGAAAGAGAUGUAUCACUCUCUGAUUUAUGAUAGGCAGCUUAGAUAAAGCAUGAUCCAAGUUAUUUUAACUUCUAAAUUGAAAACCUUUUUUCUGCUUGAAGCCACAUUAAGAAGUAUUUCAUAAAUAGUGAUGGCAUUGAUGUAAUCAACCAGGUUUUUUUCUGGUUCUGCCUGAAUUCCUCACCCUUUCAUCAGAGCCCUUUUCUUGUGGGACUAUGAUGCUAUAAUCAGGAGUAACAGAACUGUCUGAAGUGUGGCCUGAACUUCCAUUCAUCCUGAGUUUUUAGUUAUAGAUGUACUGUCUGUAGAUGGGGGUGAAGCAUAAAUCUUUCUAACUUAAGGCUGUGGCAUAUACAUUUGCCAUCACCAAACUAUUUUGGAUGUAUGAGGUUCUGGUCUCUUAGAAAUGUUAGUUGGGAAAAAAAUUCAGAACAAUAGAAGGAUUGGGGAGAACUAUAGAUGUGAGUACUCUUGCCAUUAAAGACAAUAAGAAUCAUCAUCCCGAUAGAAUCUGUGAUUACUUCCCAAGGCAGCAAAUGUUGUUCUUUUCCUCUGUAUAUAAUUUGUGUUGAAGAUUUUAGGUGACUAAAACAACAACAAAACUGAAAACAAAAACAAUAUUUCUUAGUUACCUUUUCAAUUAUAUUUUGAGUCCUUUACUCUCACCAAAGGAAAUACCCAAGUCCACCUUUGUUGAAUGCAUUGCCCCAAAAUAAACUUGGUACAUGUCAAGCUUC